rnacentral:rRNA from 1 species
GCUGAUGGCCAAAUUACUCUGAAUGUGCCCGAUCUCGUCAGACCCAGAAACUAAGUUGGGCUGGGCCUGGAUAGAGCUUGGAUGGGCAACCACCAUGCAUGCCAGGUUGUCAAUGGGC